UCUCAAAAAUAAACAUUAAAAUUUUUUUUAAAAAAUGCUAGAGCAGUAUCACAAAUUCGAUGGGGACUGCCCUGACUGCUUCCGGACUUAGUUCUUCCUCUGUGCACAGGUAACACCUUGUUUUACUGCCUUUUGCUUCAUUGUGCAUCGCAGACACUGAGUUGUUUGUCUUGUGUUUUUUGUUUUUUUACGAAUUAAAGCUCUGUGGCCACCCUCCAUCAGGCAAGUCUCAUGGGGCCAUUUUUCCAACCGCAUUUGCUCGCUUUGUGUCUCUGUGUCACAUUUUAGUAAUUCCGGCAAUAUUUCAAACUUUGUCAUUCCUGGCAGAGUUGCUACGGUGAUCUGUGACCGGUGAUCUUUGCUGUUACUAUUGUGACUGUUCUGAGGCCCCACGAACCGCACCCACACAAGACGGUGAACUUAGCAACUGCUGGGUGUGUUUGACCGCUGCACCUCCCUGCACAGCAUCUUCCUGUCCUCGGCAAACGUCACUGUCGUCUUAUCCUAGGAAACGGCCACGGCCACCCCCGCCUUCAGCAACCACCGCCCUGAUCAGUCAGCAGCCACCAACAUGGAGGCAAAGACCCUCCACCAGCAGAAGACGACUCACCGAGACCUUCGACAGUGGUUGGCAGUUUUUGCAAUAAAGCAUUUUAAUAUUAAGGAUUCUACCAGGCCCCCCCAUCCGUCCUCCGCUCCCUACAAGUGGCUGCCCAGGACCCCACCUGCACAGAGGGAACAAAACCAGUAACCAGUGGCCAAGAAUAGAGGUGACCACGAGGGCCGGCCGGAAACCCUCAGACUGAGCUCCAGGGAGCCACGGGAGUCACAACCGCACGGACCUUACAGGAGGACAAGGAAGGAGGGCCAGGUGGAAGCGUGUGGCCCGACCUGCAGCCAGAGUGAAGCCAGCUCCCCACACCCAAGGCCAGCAAGCCGGCGUCCACCCCACACCCGGGAACUAAGGCUUUCGUAAAAGGUUUGGUGGGAAGGAAGCUUCAACUAAUCCGACUAUUUCAAACCUAACUGAAUGUCUGCUAUGCACAAGGCCCUGUGCUGGGCAAGACAAUACUCAGGUGAGCUACGUAUGGUCUGGGAAGGUGAGUUUGGCCACAGGAAAGUAACUCUGGUGGGAAAAGUGCAAUCUAAGGGGGCCGGGUGGAGGGAAAGAUCACAUCUACUGGGAGGGAGGGUCUGGAAAAGUUAGAGGAGGCAUUUGGCAUUUUACCCCAGGCCAUAGAGUCUUGGUGCAGCUUCAAAAGUCAGGUCAGGGAGGAAGGCCUCCAGUCAGAGGGAACUGCAUGAGGAAGGGCAAGGAAGUAGGAAGUUAAGGAGCAUCCAAGGGCUGGGCCAGGGGAGCUCCAGCAGGCCAGUGCCCGGGGAACUGCAGGGAGGAAACAGAUGUUAACCCAGCCCUGGGGUCACUGUGGCUGUGGAAGGGGACGGUGGCGGGGUGGGUGGUGGAGAAAGAAGAGAGAAGAGUCAGAGGCCACUGGAAUUUUAACCUACAGGGGGAAGGGAAGAAUGCCUGGAAGCAGUUAUUCAGAACUCUGCAGGGCUUAGCAAUGUGCUCAAUAAUACACAGCAAUGCAUAAUUCAGUAAAUGCCAUCGCCAUCCUGCCAGUGGCUGAGGCCAAAAUCUCAGAGUCAUCCUCAAAUCCUCUCCAGGACAUGCAGUCUCUCAGUAAGCUGCCCGCCUCCCUCCAGAAUACCCCCACACCCAGCCACGCCCCCCCACCCCGCCCUGAAAGGCUCUGUCCCCACAUCCUCCGGUGGCCACCUCCUGCACCUCAAGUCUCCUCCUCCAGGAAACCUUCCCUGACCACCAGACCCCUUCCCAGGCACUCGGGUUGCCCCAUUUUACUCACUGAUGUCUGUCUCAACACUCGUGCCCCCCACCUUUCCUGGCUUGUCUAUAGCCAUAUCCCCAAUUCUUGGAACAGAGUCGCGCGCAGCCUAUGGACUCAAUAAAUGUUUGCUGAACUGCACAUAAUGCCAUUGGAGGAACGCAGGGUCCCCCGUGCACUGUAUUCACAGACUCGUGACAUUCGCUGCCCAGAGCUGCUGCUUGCAGGAGUUGCACCCCAAGACUGGGUCAGACCAAGGGCAGUCGAUGCCGGUGCCUGCGGAGUGCUCAGUAUGGAUGGGUGAGGCUGUCAGCAAGUGGUGGCCCCAGGAGAGGGGCAGAGGCAGAGACAGAGACACAGAAGGGGAGAAGGAAGUCACCGCCCUGUGGGCAGACACUUAUCCGCAGCCUGAAGGUCUGGAGGGGGGUUGCAGCUACAGACUGAUGCAAUUUCCUUAGCACCAACUGCUGUGGGAAACAUAACAGGUUAACUUCCUCGUCCCCACACACAGCGGGGGGACAUCAGCAGGCACAGAGGCCUGGCACCGGUCCCACUGCCCGGCCGGGCCCGCAGCUGCCUGGUGCACAGUUGCUCAGCCAGGGACCCCUCGCACAAGCCCGAGGCCGGCUUCGGGCUCCACCCAUUUCCUUAGCCUCCAACGGCCCUGCCUCUCGCCCCUGAAGCUGUCUGUCCUGCACAGCGCCUCUUCGCGAACAGGUCUCUUUGGAUCCUGACAACAGGGAUACAAAGAGAGGCCAUUUGACAGACCGGAA